ACCUUUACCACUCAAAAGGGUGAUUCUGGAACAGAUCUCUGGAGCCAGAUUCUGGCAUACAGCAGCCUCUUCGCUCAACGAACCUUUAAAGAGAUCUGUAAUAAAGCAUGCAUAUGCGGGCUGUAUUUCCCUUCUCUCUUAUCAAAAAUCCAAGCCAUCCUCCACUUGCCUCCUUCAGCAUAAGUUUCAUUUCCCAGAAAUAAGCCAGGAUCAGAUUUCGGAAGGCAAUGAACUGAUAUCAGAUACAACUGAGAUGGAAGAAUAUCUGAAUCUGGCAUUGGCUGGAAGUUGAAUCUAGAUCACUUGAAUCCCAGCACAGUAUGGCACGAUAAGUAAACGUCUGGUGAGACAAAUUCCAACAAACUGAUUCUGUUAAGGACGGCUCUCCACACUGCCCUGAAGGCUGGUUCCGCAGCUCACUAAAGAAAGCAGCUUGAGUCCAUCCAUGGAAAGGUGAACAGUAUCGCUCACUGACUGCAAUGCUGAAUCAAGUUGUGCUGAGAGGAGCUUGUUCGUGUCUGCCCCCCGACCACCACCACCAUCUCUAGAUGAAGGGGUGAAUGCAUUCCUGUCCCUCAGUUCUUCAGAACCGUCCAGGAGACGGCAGCUGGUUGAGGAGCUGUGCGACUAAGAAGCUGCAAGAGGAGGUGAGCAGACUGCGCAGUGUCAAGGAAGAUGAAAAAGAGAUUGACAGGAUUUUCAUAGAGAUGAGAGCCCAAACCUCCAACUGCACUGAAAGAGAGGCAGCCAGAGACUAUGGUUGGUUGUGGUGCCAAGACUCCCAUGAUGGGGAAGACUGUAGGCUUGUGACUUCUGGCAGCAGGAGGAUGGCUCCUUUUCCACCCAUGGGUCUGAAACUGCAAAAUAGUAUCAGUGCCCUGCUAGUGGGCAAAGGGCAGAAAGGCAUAUCAGGGAAGCUGUAGAGCUGGCCAAGCCUGAACUAAACAAAAGCACCAGAAGGAAGCAGUGACUAAUAGCAGUGCAAGACGCCCUGCUGUGGGGGAGUGAAGGUUCUCACCUGCCAACCUCUCCUACUGUCUAGGGCAGCUUGUUGCUUGCCAGGAGAUUGGAUCUGGGACACUGUGGAGAAACUGAUGAGGCUUGUCCAGCCCUUGGACAAUCAUCCCCAGCUGCUCAUCCAUGUAGGCAUCAAGUAUACUGCUUGGGGGGACCCUGAGCAUAUCAAGAGUGACUACCCAGUAGCAAGGGUGAAGGUCAUGGUCCUCCCACUGAAAGGAAAGAAUAGGCUACAAUUUAGGAACAGUGCAAACAUACAGGGAUGGCAUCAGGGAACUCAAAGCUCAACAGGUGUUGAGACUGGCAGGGGAUGUCAAGGGCAGCAAGAACUGUUUCUGCCACUACAUAAGUAAUGAAAGGCUGAACAAGGAAAAUGUGGGCCCAUUGCUGAAUGGAGCAGGUCAUUUAGUGACAGCAGACACAGAUAAGGCUGAGGUAUCCAAUGCCUUCUUGCUCUCAGACCUCACUAUGCUCAAGAGUAUGUCAGCCAUUCAGUGAGACCUAGAUAGGCUGGAGGAAUGGGGCAGCGGGAACUUCAUGAAAUGCAACAAGGACAAAUGCUAAGUCCAGCACCUGGGAAGGAAGAACCUCCUGCAACUGUGCAGGCUGGGGACAGACUGACUGGGGAGCAGCUCUGCAGAAAUUGCCCUGUGGGUCUUGGUGUACAACAAGCUGCACAUAAACCAGCAAAAUGACCUGGCAUCAAAGAAGGCCAAGUCGUGACGUUUACAGGAG